rnacentral:hammerhead_ribozyme from 1 species
AUCUAACUGACGAGUCCCAAAUAGGACGAAACGCGCGUCGUAGAU